UACGAAGGGGACUAGCGUUGUUCGGAAUCACUGGGCGUAAAGCGCACGUAGGCGGAUUUGUAAGUCAGGGGUGAAAUCCCCGGGCUCAACCUCGGAACUGCCUUUGAUACUGCGAAUCUUGAGUCCGAUAGAGGUGGGUGGAAUUCCUAGUGUAGAGGUGAAAUUCGUAGAUAUUAGGAAGAACACCGGUGGCGAAGGCGGCCCACUGGAUCGGUACUGACGCUGAGGUGCGAAAGCGUGGGGAGCAAACAGG
rnacentral:rRNA from 1 species